rnacentral:lncRNA from 1 species
UGGGCCUUGGAUUUGUUGGCUCUCACUGUUUCAGAAACGAAUCCUAUCUUUAAUUCUUGUCCUCAUAUGCAUUCAUGAUGGUGGUGGUGCCAGCAAUGGCAUUUAAAGUAUACCGGACUGAAUUAUAGUGGCCAACGACGAAUCCUAAUAUAAAGGAUGUUUGCAUUGGGCAUCUGAUAUUAUUGUGGAUGAGAUUUUGAAAUGAUAUUGUAAGGAUCCGGUCUUUUUCUUUUCACAUGAAUUAAAAAUAGAUCUAAAAAAAUAAUAAUAAUUUUCAACCCCACAUGCUUGGCGCA